GAGUUUGAUCGUGGCUCAGAUUGAACGCUGGCGGCAUGCUUUACACAUGCAAGUCGAACGGUAACGCGGGGGCAACCCUGGCGACGAGUGGCGAACGGGUGAGUAAUACAUCGGAACGUGUCCUGGAGUGGGGGAUAGCUCGGCGAAAGCCGGAUUAAUACCGCAUACGCUCUGAGGAGGAAAGCGGGGGACCUUCGGGCCUCGCGCUGCGGGAGCGGCCGAUGUCGGAUUAGCUAGUUGGUGGGGUAAAGGCCUACCAAGGCGACGAUCCGUAGCUGGUCUGAGAGGAUGAUCAGCCACACUGGGACUGAGACACGGCCCAGACUCCUACGGGAGGCAGCAGUGGGGAAUUUUGGACAAUGGGGGCAACCCUGAUCCAGCCAUGCCGCGUGAGUGAAGAAGGCCUUCGGUUGUAAG
rnacentral:rRNA from 1 species